rnacentral:rRNA from 1 species
UGGGGAAUAUUGGACAAUGGGCGGAAGCCUGAUCCAGCAACGCCGCGUGAGGGAUGACGGCCUUCGGGUUGUAAACCUCUUUCAGUACCGACGAAGCGCCGAUGAUGGUGGUGACGGUAGGUACAGAAGAAGCACCGGCCAACUACGUGCCAGCAGCCGCGGUAAUACGUAGGGUGCGAGCGUUGUCCGGAAUUAUUGGGCGUAAAGGGCUCGUAGGCGGUUUGUCGCGUCGGGAGUGAAAACACCGGGCUUAACUCGGUGCUUGCUUUCGAUACGGGCAGACUAGAGGCAUGCAGGGGAGAACGGAAUUCCUGGUGUAGCGGUGAAAUGCGCAGAUAUCAGGAGGAACACCGGUGGCGAAGGCGGUUCUCUGGGCAUGUCCUGACGCUGAGGAGCGAAAGUGUGGGGAGCGAACA